CAUUUCCGUUGUGUUAUAGGCGGAAGGAUAACAUAGUUAAGAGGUUGAUUGCGUAGAGAAGUCACAGAGACAGCCUUAACGGUAUAGUCGAUGAGAAAUAUUUACAAAUCGAAUAUGAAUAUUACUUCUGGUUGUUAUCGCGAAAUGAGGGUAGAGCUAAUCAUCAUAUCCUGCCUGUUAACCUUUCUUGUGGUCGGAUUUGUAGAAGGGAGGAUUACUUGCGGCAAUUUUACUUAUGAACACGACGGAUGCACCGAUCCUUUCAACUUUCCUUACAAACAACGAUUUCAACAAGCAUGUGAUAAACACGAUCUCUGCUAUACAUGUGGAUAUACACGUGGAUUAUCAAGGUUAAGCUGCGAUAGAAUAUUUCUUAACAUUAUGAAGAAUCACUGUUCUUCUUAUAGUAGUCGAAGUCUGAACCGCUCGAAUUGCAUUGCAAACGCGUAUGUAUACUACGGCAUGGCUAGAGGGUUUGGUGCUUUGCGUUUUGUAAGAAGUUCAACGAGUAGGUGCUCAUCGCAGCAGGUUUCGGAUUGUAUGCAUGACUAGGGUCUAUCCAUUUUUAUAUUCAUAUUUCUGGCAAAGUCUGUGAUUUGUUUGGGUUUUUUUUACUGAUGUUAUGAAUAAAACCUAACUUCAACUGGAUAUAUAUGAAUAUUGACGAAGGGGUAUACGUUAUUGUCUAAUUAUUAUGUAUUACUGUUGGUUUGGAGACAUUAAACUGUUACAACUUA